UACGGAGGGUGCAAGCGUUAUCCGGAAUCACUGGGUUUAAAGGGUGCGUAGGCGGCUAAAUAAGUCAGAGGUGAAAGCUGGCAGCUCAACUGUCAAACUGCCUUUGAUACUGUUUGGCUUGAAUCAGGUUAAGGUAGGCAGAAUGUGGCAUGUAGCGGUGAAAUGCAUAGAUAUGCCAUAGAAUACCAAUUGCGAAGGCAGCUUGCUGGGCCUGAAUUGACGCUGAGGCACGAAAGCGUGGGGAUCAAACAGG
rnacentral:rRNA from 1 species